UGCGUAGGCGGCCAAAUUAGUCAGGGGUGAAAGCUCGCAGCUCAACUGCGGAAUUGCCUUUGAUACUGUUUGGCUUGAAUCAGGAUGAGGUCAGCGGAAUGUGGCAUGUAGCGGUGAAAUGCAUAGAUAUGCCAUAGAACACCAAUUGCGAAGGCAGCUGACUAGACCUGCAUUGACGCUGAGGCACGAAAGCAUGGGGAGCGAACAGGAUUAGAUACCCUGGUAGUCC
rnacentral:rRNA from 1 species